AUGUGCGGGGGAUCAGAUCUGGGCACGGUUUUCGACCUGAACGCCUGUUUUAGAUUAUAUGCUACACCAACCCAGGCAUGGAAUCAGAGCUCUUUUUUUUUUCCUUCCUCGAAACUGUGUGGUGCCCUACAAUGCCUCUACUUUUUUUCUUUCUCUCUCUCCAACUUUCAUUUGAGGGUAUUUGCUGGCUUGGGACCAUAUAUUCUUUGCACUUUUGUGCACCCCCAAGAUAAAAUACAAGUGACUGCCUUCUUCAUGUGCUUGGGUGUUGAAUUUUAGUCUCCCCUUCUGUCAAUCCCUUACCCCAGCUCCAAGUAAACAUGAGAGAUGUCAAAGCAUAAACCUGCCCAGGGCAUUCUGUGGCCCAUGGACCCUUAGAAAGCACUGCUUCCAUCUCUCCAUUUUCCAGUUUAGGAAACUGAGGAUUUGAGUAGGAAGGGAUUUUUUCCAAGGUCACAGAGGGAUUUCAGAAAGGAUGGGCCAGACCCACAUUUCCUGGACCUCAGUCUGGAGCUUUGUUAAACACCUUUGGGUCUCUAAUUCCAUCUUUCUGCACCAACAAAGAGGACUAGCCAGGAGUUCCUAUCAUGGCUCAGCGAUAACAAACCCAACUAGUAUCCAUGAGGAUGAGGGUUCGAUCCCUGGCCUCGCUCAGUAGGGUUAAGGAUCCAGUGUUGCCAUGAGCUGUGGGUUGCAGCCUUGGCUUGGAUCUUGCAUUGCUGUGGUUGUGGUAUAGGCCGGCAGCUGUAGUUUCAGUUGGACCUCGAGCCUGGGAACUUCCAUAUGCCAUAACUACAGCCCUAAAAACCAAAAAAACAAAAAAACCCAAAAAACAAAAAAAUAAAAAAAAAGAGGCCUAACCAAGCAAUCAGGAAGCAAGACCUCUCUAUUAGGUAAACCUGAGUUCAAAUUCUGGCUUAGUUUCUUGCCAGGGAAGUGGCCCUGGACAAGUCCCUUUAACUUCUGGGCUCUUCUAUUACUUCAUUGGUACCAACCCUUCAUUUAAUAAAUAUUUUCUGUGUACUGACUCUGUGCCAGGAGCUGUUCUCAGGACUAGGCUUAAACAGAGUGUUUGCUCUGUGCUCUAGUGCAGUGAAAUAAAAAUACUGAGUGGAACUGUGGUGAGGAUUGAUAUAAUACCCGUAACGGUAAAUAACAGCUAUUUCUGAUAUUUUGGAUGCAGUCGGAAAAAUUCAUUAAGGUUUUCCUUCCACUAGGACAGCAAUUGUGUCUGUCCUAUGAGUAUUUCUGUGGUCAUCUUUUCUUGUUUAAAAAUCAAUUUGUUCUUUCAAUGCUGCCUAUGUAGUAUGCUGAGCCAGAGAGAGGCCAGGACAAGCCAU
rnacentral:lncRNA from 1 species